CAGAAAGACCCUAUGAAGCUUUACUGUAACUUGAAAUUGAUUUCGGACCUUAUUUGUGCAGGAUAUGUGGGAGGCUACGAUAAUUUCUUCUAGCCGUCCGUGAGAUACCACUCUGAUAAUGGUUAGAAAUCUAACUUUAUACCAUAUAUCUGGUUAAAAAACAGUUUCUGGUGGGCAGUUUGACUGGGGCGGUCGCCUCCCAAAAAGUAACGGAGGCGCACAAAGGUUUCCUCAAAUCGGUCAGAAAUCGGUUGAAGAGCGUAAAGGCAUAAGGAAGCUUGACUGCGAGACCUACAAGUCGAGCAGGGACGAAAGUCGGUCUUAGUGAUCUGACGAUAUUGUGUGGAAAAAUCGUCACUCAACGGAUAAAAGUUACUCUAGGGAUAACAGGCUGA
rnacentral:rRNA from 1 species